rnacentral:lncRNA from 1 species
AACUUGACAUGAGCACGGCACAUGCUGGCAUGCAUAUUUCUUCUCUUGGCAUGUGGAGAGUGGUGGCUCCAAAGAUGACGUGGACAAAUCCAAGUAUGGCCCUAUGGACCCAAAGCUAAAUGUAUUAAAAAUUUAUUGACUGAAAAUAAAUAAUUAAAGUAGAAUCAAUCUAAUGAGGCUUCUUCGAUCCAAAUCAAAUUUAAAUCAUGUUGCCAAUUUUUGAUGGCUCUGGUGUCCGCACCAAUUCUUUCGAGGUGAGGGAAACUCGAUCCUGUCGAGUGUGGGUCGAUUCCACUCUGGUGAUGCUCAAG